rnacentral:rRNA from 1 species
CACGUAGGGUGCGAGCGUUGUCCGGAAUUAUUGGGCGUAAAGAGCUCGUAGGCGGUUUGUUGCGUCGGCCGUGAAAACCUGCAGCUUAACUGUGGGCCUGCGGCCGAUACGGGCAGACUUGAGUUCGGUAGGGGAGACUGGAAUUCCUGGUGUAGCGGUGUAAUGCGCAGAUAUCUGGAGGAACACCGGUGGCGAAGGCGGCAUCCUGGACCGGUAUUGACGCUGAGGCGCGAAAGCCAGGGGAGCAAACGGG